AAACAUCGCCUCUUGCAUCCAUAAGAGGUCCAGCCUGCCCAGUGACUUAUGUUAAACGGCCUCGGUAUACUGACCGUGCGAAGGUAGCGCAAUCACUUGUCUCUUAAAUCGGGACUUGUAUGAAUGGCAUCACGAGGAUUUAACUGUCUCCUUUCUCCAAUCAGUGAAACUAUUCUCCCUGUGAAAAAACAGGGAUACACAUAUAAGACGAGAAGACCCUAUGAAGCUUUAGACCCAUGGCAAACCGCUAUAAAUACUUCUUCCAGAAACCUAACAUACCGCACAUAACCAUGUGUCUUUGGUUGGGGUGACCGCGGAGAAAAAUCAAACCCCCGCACUGAUAAUCUAAAAUAUUCUAAACCAAGUCACAACUUUACGUAUCAACAAAUUGACAUAAUUGACCCAAACACUUGAUCAAUGAACUAAGUUACUCUAGGGAUAACAGCGCAAUCCACUUCAAGAGCACAUAUCGACAAGUGGGCUUACGACCUCGAUGUUGGAUCAGGGCACCCCUGUGGUGUAGCCGCUACAAAAGGUUCGUUUGUUCAACGAUUAAAACCCUACGUGAUC
rnacentral:rRNA from 1 species